GUAGGGGGCAAGCAUUAUCCGGAUUUACUGGGUGUAAAGGGAGCGUAGACGGCAGCGCAAGUCCGAAGUGAAAGCCCGGGGCCCAACCCCGGGACUGCUUUGGAAACUGUGAAGCUGGAGUGCGGGAGGGGCAGGCGGAAUUCCUGGUGUAGCGGUGAAAUGCGUAGAUAUCAGGAGGAACACCGGCGGCGAAGGCGGCCUGCUGGGCCGUAACUGACGUUGAGGCUCGAAAGCGUGGGGAGCAAA
rnacentral:rRNA from 1 species